CCUUCUUCGACGUUAAAGGGAUACAAAGAUAGGAUAGUAAAUAAUCCUUCUGGGGAGGAAUGGAAUAUUUGAUUGACAAUUUCGUCCUCAGUUAAGUAUUCUUCAGGGAUGAGGCCUAUAAUUUGGUUUUGGAAACCAAAUGUAUAGUACUCAGCAUCCAAUGCUAGACCUAAUAAUAUUCCUUUUGGUAAAGUAACACUAUUGGGUGUAACAUUGUUGACCAUUAUAUAGGUGGAAUUCUUACCAAUACUUACCAUUGGUGUAUGCGUUACCACCAUCCCUGAUU